GUUCUCAGUUUGGCAGCACAUCCACUGAAAUUGGGUUGAUAGAGAAGAUUUGCAUAGCCCCUGUGCAAAGAUGACAUGAAAAUUUAUGAAACAUUCCUUAUUUUU